rnacentral:misc_RNA from 1 species
UUUCCGUAGGUGAACCUGCGGAAGGAUCAUUAUUGUAUAACCGAGGUGCGAGGGCUGUCGCUGACCCGAAAGGUCGUGCACGCCCGAGUGCCCUCACACACAUCCAUCUCACCCCUAUGUGCACCACCGCGUGGGUCCCCCUUUGGCUUGUUCGGAGGGGGGCUUACGUUUUCACACAAACUUUGUAUGCAGUGUAGAAUGUAUUUUUUGUUUUUGCGAUCACGCAAUCAAUACAACUUUCAACAACGGAUCUCUUGGCUCUCGCAUCUAUUAAUAACUCACC